AGCUCUGGGGUGUAACACGUAAGAUUGCAAAUCUUGAGAUGCAGAUUAACGUCUGCCGGGGCUU
rnacentral:tRNA from 1 species